rnacentral:rRNA from 1 species
GGCUAUGGCCAUGCCACCCUGCACUCGCCCGAUCCCGUCUGAUCUCAGAAGCUAAGCAGAGUAGAGUCUGGUUAGUAGUUGGAUGGGAGACCACCCAGGAAGACCAGGUGCUGUAGGCG